AUGGGAGACUCCCACUUUCCUCCAAAAAAAAAGAGGAGAAAGAAGAGUGCAGUCAAAAAAAAGAAAGUGGUCACGAGCCGACUUCAGAAACAUCAGAAAUCACCCAGACGUGCAUCAGCUUCCGUGAACCCAGUGAGUGAGGAAGUCCAGCUCGAAGGAAUUGAAUUGACUGCAAGUCUUGAAACUCGUCUUCAAGAGUUAAGGGGUACCCUUGCCUCUGAAGCUCCAGUGGCAAAAGCAGACAUAACCUGGACACAACGGCAGGUGCUCGCUGGAGUUAGGGCAAAAUUAGCAAGGCCAUUACUCCUAGAUGCCAAACUCUCGGCACAGAGAGCAUUACAGGAAACAUGCCAGAAAUGCCACGAAGAGGAGGCAGUUAUUCGGUGCCUUGAGUGUGUCCCACUGGACUUUGAGUACCUCUGUGGCAAGUGUGACAUAGAGGUCCACAGGAGGCAUGUCUUCCAUGGCAGGGUGGCAAUAUUCCAUGGCUAUCUGGAGCCUAUUCCCCCUACAAAGGCAGUGGUGGUGGAUGGGAAUGGCCAGCUUCAUUUUUCCGAGCAGGUAUGUCAGUUGCCAAUGCCUGCCCAAAGGGUAAUAUGUGGUUGCACUGAAGAGGCUGAGGUUACCACUGGGAGGCAUAUUGCAGUGGUCACUAUAAAUGGACGAUACGAGAUGUGUUUACCCCGAAAGGUCUGCUCUUGCUGCACAACAGAAUGGACUCCAGGGGUAAAGGACCUUCUACAGUAUAAUUACUGGCCAAGCACUACCAACUGCCAGACUUUAUAUUCGUUUGAUGUUUUUGAGGCAUUUUCAAACAUAAAGUUGGCAGCUCCCUCCCUGUCGAGGCAUGCUUUUUUAAAGCUUCUGGAGCACCAGUCUGUUCGAGGAGGAAGGGUAAGUCUGCCUGAAUCGCAUUGUAACACACAAUUAUAA
rnacentral:lncRNA from 1 species